rnacentral:rRNA from 1 species
GUUGAUAAGGUUAAGUGAAUAAGGGCGCACGGUGGAUGCCUUGGCACUAGGAGCCGAUGAAGGACGGGACUAACACCGAUAUGCUUUGGGGAGCUGUACGUAAGCUAUGAUCCAGAGAUUUCCGAAUGGGGAAACCCAACAUCUUUUAUAGGAUGUUACGUUUGCGUGAAUACAUAGCGCAUUCGAGGUAGACGCAGAGAACUGAAACAUCUAAGUACCUGCAGGAAGAGAAAGAAAAUUCGAUUCCCUGAGUAGCGGCGAGCGAAACGGGAAAAGCCCAAACCAAUGAGCUUGCUCAUUGGGGUUGUAGGACUCCAAUAUGGUAGUUCUUUCAGAUAAUCGAAUGACUUGGAAAAGUCAGUCAAAGAGGGUAAAAACCCCGUAGAUGAAAUUUGGAAGGCACCUAGGAGGAUCCUGAGUACGGCGGAACACGAGGAAUUCCGUCGGAAUCCGGGAGGACCAUCUCCCAAGGCUAAAUACUCCCUAGUGACCGAUAGUGAACCAGUACCGUGAGGGAAAGGUGAAAAGCACCCCGGAAGGGGAGUGAAAUAGAACCUGAAACCGUGUGCCUACAACAAGUCAAAGCCCGUUAAUGGGUGAUGGCGUGCCUUUUGUAGAAUGAACCGGCGAGUUACGAUUGCAUGCGAGGUUAAGUCGAAGAGACGGAGCCGCAGCGAAAGCGAGUCUGAAUAGGGCGUUUGAGUAUGUAGUCGUAGACCCGAAACCAUGUGAUCUACCCAUGUCCAGGUUGAAGGUGCGGUAAAACGCACUGGAGGACCGAACCCACGUACGUUGAAAAGUGCGGGGAUGAGGUGUGGGUAGCGGAGAAAUUCCAAACGAACUUGGAGAUAGCUGGUUCUCUCCGAAAUAGCUUUAGGGCUAGCCUCGGAUUUGAGAAUGAUGGAGGUAGAGCACUGUUUGGACUAGGGGCCCAUCUCGGGUUACCGAAUUCAGAUAAACUCCGAAUGCCAUUCAUUCAUAUCCGGGAGUCAGACUGUGAGUGAUAAGAUCCAUAGUCGAAAGGGAAACAGCCCAGACCACCAGCUAAGGUCCCAAAAUAUAUGUUAAG